UGGAAUCAACAGAUCAUGGUUGAUCUUUUAGGGCAUGAGCAUCACUGAUGGAUUGGAUGCUAUGCUCCUUUCAAAUCCAUAAAUCGCCGUAAAACAUCUUUCGAUUUUUCUUUUUUGGCAUUUAAUACCGUAGUAGUAUUUAAAAUUUAAAUACUCUCAAGUAAUACUCAGGUCGUAGCUGCAACUCCGAACACAAAUAAAUUUCCGGUGCUGAAAAGUGACGAUUGAAUACUUGUGGCGCGGCAUUGAAUUGCAAACGAUGAAGAAUUUGGAGAGAGACAGAGAGAGAAAGGGGAAAUUGGGAUUUAGCGAAGGGGAAUGGGAGGAUGUUUAAUAAUGGAGUGUGUCGUUCACGAGACAAGUGGCGGAGGAGGAGCUGUACUUUGAGAGGGACGGAAGUUUUCCCAAUCACGGAGCAAUUGGCGCUGCACUAAGCCAGUUCCACUCCUACAACCCCACACUGAUAGCGACUCCUCCCCUGUGGACCCCACUCCCAGCAAUUUAUUUAUUUUUCCUUUGUUUGCUUCAAAUUUUAAAACUGCAAAUUCUUAAGCCUUUCUCCUUAUAUGAGCAAUAUUCGUUUUUUUUCUCUUUUUUAAA
rnacentral:lncRNA from 1 species